GGCUGUUGAAGCUAAAGUGGACUCUCUCAUUUGUCUUUUCAGGGAACAAGACACAGAUGGAAGAAAACACUGUGCAGAAUGAUGGAGGUGAAGGUGAAGGUUCAGUGAUCUAUGAAAACUCUGGAGACCCUUCUGCUUCAGUCAGACUCCACUGAUCAACAAC